rnacentral:rRNA from 1 species
UGAAUACGAGACGCUAAGGCGUCGAAGUAGUGUAUGUCAUACUUCCAAGAAAAGCUUGCACUGUCAUAGAUAAAAAACGCCUGUACCAUAACCGACACAGGUGGGUAGGUAGAGUAUACUAAGGGGCGCGAGAUAACUCUCUCUAAGGAACUCGGCAAAAUAACUCCGUAACUUCGGGAGAAGGAGUGCCUUAUUCUUAAGGUUGCAAUAACAAGAUCCAAGCAACUGUUUAUCAAAAACACAGGUCUCCGCUAAGUCGUAAGACGAUGUAUGGGGGCUGACGCCUGCCCAGUGCCAGAAGGUUAAAGAAGCUGGUUAGCAUUUGCGAAGCUAGUAACUGAAGCCCUGGUGAACGGCGGCCGUAACUAUAACGGUCCUAAGGUAGCGAAAUUCCUUGUCGGGUAAGUUCCGACCCGCACGAAAGGCGUAAUGAUUUGGAUACUGUCUCGGAGAGGGGCUCGGUGAAAUAGACUUGUCUGUGAAGAUGCGGACUACCUGCACCAGGACAGAAAGACCCUAUGAAGCUUUACUGUAACUUGAAAUUGAAAUUGGACUUUAUUCGCGCAGUAUAGGUGGGAGGCGUUGAUUAUAAUCUUGCGGGAUUAUUGGAGCCAUUAGUGAGAUACCACUCUUGUAAUGUUAGAUUUCUAACUUUGAAUCAUUAUCUGGUCAAAGAACAGUUUCAGGCGGGCAGUUUGACUGGGGCGGUCGCCUCCUAAACGGUAACGGAGGCGUACAAAGGUUUCCUCUGAACGGUUAGAAAUCGUAUCUAGAGUGUAAAGGCAUAAGGAAGCUUGACUGUGAGACCUACAAGUCGAGCAGGGACGAAAGUCGGUCUUAGUGAUCUGACGGUACUGAGUGGAAAGGCCGUCACUCAACGGAUAAAAGUUACUCUAGGAUAACAGGCUGAUCUCCCCCAAGAGUUCACAUCGACGGGGAGGUUUGGCACCUCGAUGUCGGCUCAUCGCAUCCUGGGGCGGUAGUACGUCCCAAGGGUUGGGCUGUUCGCCCAUGAAAGCGGUACGCGAGCUGGGUUCAGAACGUCGUGAGACAGUUCGGUCCAUAUCCGGUGUAGGCGUUAGAAUAUUGAGAGGAGCCUUCUUUAGUACGAGAGGACCGAGAAGGACAUACCUCUGGUGUACCAGUUAUCGUGCCAACGGUAAACGCUGGGUAGCUAUGUAUGGAGUGGAUAACCGCUGAAAGCAUCUAAGUGGGAAGCCCACCUCAAGAUAAGUAUUCUCAU